ACUGAACGCAAUGUACGAUCGGUCGUAAAAGUUUCGUGAGACCACUCGAGUGCGUCGGUCAUGUGCCUCAUCUUGCUUUGAGAUUCGAGUGUGCGUCAUCUCAAUUAUGUUUUUGAGAAGCCGGCCUCAUUUGUGCAGUUGUAUUAAACGUUUCAUAUUCCCUUCAUUCGUCCGUGCACGUGCGGCGCGAAAACGUAGUCGCAGAUCGCAGGCGCCCAAUGUCUGAGGAACGUUUUGCCGUUUUUGUCUUAAUUGCAUUAUUCUUUUGUUCUAUUUACUGGUAUUUACUUAUUUGACAUGGUCGGUACAUUGCAUUCCAAUUUUAUGAUUUGUCUUUACGAUACUGAGCGGAAUCUUAUGAGCCGUCGUCUUAUCGUGCCUUAUUAGUGCCAUUAAUUUAAUUAAUUUUGAAGAAGAAGUACGAGCGAUCGCACAGAUAAUUUGAAAUGAUUGGCUCGUGCUACUAAUUGGGCGAAGUUGACUGUGGAGUUUGUUUAGAAGUUCAUCGAGAUCAUGAGCAAAAAUUUAACUUUUUGAUGUAGUUGCGUUUAUUGUGAGAUUCUAGUGUCACCGGUGUUGGAUUCCAAAGAGAAUGGUUUAUGUGCUUUGGGACUUACAUGCUAAUCAUGGGGCCACUAUCGAUAUCUCUUAGGCUAAAACAAGAUGGUUUGUCAUGGUAACUGCCUCGGCCUUAGAUUGACUGCAAUGGAUUCGCGUAGAGAAGACGUUUAUGAACAAUUAAAAUCCAAUUUGUACCAAAAUGACGCCGUGACUGGUGAAGCGGUUGGAAUCGCUAUGGGAAUUGUUAUGCUGGGAUUCAAAUCAACGCAUGUGAUCGACAAUAUGCCGGGUACUGUAAGUUUAAUACAUAUUUUUCUAU